UGCAAGUCGAACGUGAAGGUGCAGCAAUGCAUCUGAAAGUGGCGGACGGGUGAGUAACACGUGGGUGACCUGCCUUGUAGUGGGGGAUAACCAUGGGAAACUGUGGCUAAUACCGCAUGGUCUUGAUAAGGGUGGACUUUAUCAGGUAAAGCUUCAUGUGCUACGAGAGGGGCCUGCGGUCGAUUAGGUCGUUGGUGGGGUAACGGCUCACCAAGCCGAUGAUCGAUAGCUGGUCUGAGAGGACGAUCAGCCACACGGGAACUGAGAGACGGUCCCGACUCCUACGGGGGGCAGCAGUGAGGAAUAUUGGGCAAUGGGCGCAAGCCUGACCCAGCAACGCCGCGUGAAGGAUGAAGGCCCUUGGGUUGUAAACUUCUUUUGCAGGGGAAGAGUAAGGACGGUACCCUGAGAAUCAGUCACGGCUAACUACGUGCCAGCAGCCGCGGUAAUACGUAGGUGACAAGCGUUAUCCGGAAUUACUGGGCGUAAAGCGCACGCAGGCGGCUGCGUAAGUCUGACGUGAAAUCUCUCGGCUUAACUGGGAGCGGUCGUUGGAAACUAUGCGGCUUGAGGCGAUGAGAGGGGUGUGGAAUUCCCGGUGUAGUGGUGGAAUGCGUAGAUAUCGGGAGGAACAUCAGUGGCGAAAGCGGCACCCUGGCAUGAGCCUGACGCUCAGGUGCGAAAGCGUGGGGAGCGAACGGGAUUAGAUACCCCGGUAGUCCACGCCGUAAACGAUGAACACUAGGUGUGGGUGGUCUCAAAAUCAUCUGUGCCGUAGUCAACGCGAUAAGUGUUCCGCCUGGGGAGUACGGUCGCAAGGCUAAAACUCAAAGGAAUUGACGGGGGCCCGCACAAGCAGCGGAGCGUGUGGUUUAAUUCGAUGCGACGCGAAAACCUUACCUGGGUUUGA
rnacentral:rRNA from 1 species